UCUGGAGGAUCUAUAUGGGUUAUUUGGGGUCUGGUGGCUCCCCAUGGGUUAUUUGGGGUCUGGAGAGUCUGUAUGGGAUAUUUGGGGUCUGGAGGCUCCCUAUGGGUUAUUUGGGGUCUAGGAGGGUCCGUAUGGGUUAUUUGGGAUCUUGGAGUGUCCCAUGGGAUAUUUGGGGUCUGGAGGAUCUAUAUGGGUUAUUUGGGGUCUGGAGGCUCCGUAUGGGUUAUUUGGGGUCUGGGGGUGCCCCGCGGGUAUUUUUGGGGUUUUGGGGGGGCUCAGUGGCGGUGCUGACGGGGCCGUGCAGUACCUGGGGUACUUCGGGGACGCCAAGCACC
rnacentral:lncRNA from 1 species